GGUAGGGUCCAGCGGCUGGAAGAGCACCG
rnacentral:snRNA from 1 species